AUGGAGACAGGUGAAGGCGGCGAUUCUGCCGAUCCGGUGGACAGACUCCUGGAGUGGCUCCACCUCCAUGAAGAACAAGACGAGGGUUUCGUGUGGGAGGAACUGGCGGAGCCGCCGGCGAAGGCCAAGUGGUUGGCGAUUGCGAAAGUGCACACGACCAGGGGCUUUAGCCUGAGCGCCUUGUUUGCAGACAUGAGAUCUACUUGGAAUCCUGCAAAGGAUGCAAUUUGGAGAAGUGUUGAUGAUAAUCUGUUCACAGUGCAAUUCGGCUGCCUGGGAGAUUGG
rnacentral:rRNA from 1 species